rnacentral:rRNA from 1 species
UACGUAGGGAGCAAGCGUUGUCCGGAAUCAUUGGGCGUAAAGCGCGCGUAGGUGGCCUCAUAAGUCCGCUGUGAAAGUCAAAGGCUCAACCUUUGAAAGCCGGUGGAUACUGUGAGGCUAGAGUACGGAAGAGGCGAGUGGAAUUCCUGGUGUAGCGGUGGAAUGCGCAGAUAUCAGGAGGAACACCGGUGGCGAAGGCGGAUCUCUGGGCCUUGCCUGACGCUGAGGCGCGAAAGCUAGGGGAGCGAACAGG